GCAGGUGGCAAGCGUUGUCCGGAAUUAUUGGGCGUAAAGCGCGCGCAGGCGGUUCUUUAAGUCUGAUGUGAAAGCCCACGGCUCAACCGUGGAGGGUCAUUGGAAACUGGAGAACUUGAGUACAGAAGAGGAAAGCGGAAUUCCACGUGUAGCGGUGAAAUGCGUAGAGAUGUGGAGGAACACCAGUGGCGAAGGCGGCUUUCUGGUCUGUAACUGACGCUGAGGCGCGAAAGCGUGGGGGAGCAAACAGGAUUAGAUACCCUGGUAGUCCACGCCGUAAACGAUGAGUGCUAAGUGUUAGGGGGUUUCCGCCCCUUAGUGCUGCAGCUAACGCAUUAAGCACUCCGCCUGGGAGUACGGCCGCAAGGCUG
rnacentral:rRNA from 1 species